rnacentral:tRNA from 1 species
GGGGACAUGGCUGAGAGGUUGAAGGCGUAGACUUGCUAAGUCUAUAGAUUUAAAUAGAGUCUCGUGGGUUCGAAUCCCACUGUUCCC